rnacentral:rRNA from 1 species
UACAGAGGUCCCAAGCGUUGUUCGGAUUCACUGGGCGUAAAGGGUGCGUAGGUGGCUUGGUAAGUUUGAUGUGAAAUCCCGGGGCUUAACCCUGGAAUUGCAUUGAAUACUGGGAGACUAGAGUACUGGAGAGGAAACUGGAAUUUACGGUGUAGCAGUGAAAUGCGUAGAGAUCGUAAGGAAGACCAGUGGCGAAGGCGAGUUUCUGGACAGUUACUGACGCUGAGGCACGAAGGCCAGGGGAGCAAACGGG